UUUAAAGUAAGGUACUGAUAUUAUUCAAUCUGAUUGCUUGAAACUAGGUAUGAUUUCAUCUGGCAGCCUGUUCAGAAGUGAAUGGAAGCUGUGUGCUUCUCCACCAGAGUCAUUACAGCGCAUGCUAAAUGUCCUGUGGAACAGAAAGAGAUACCCUCUAUUGCACAGAUGCGAAUACUGAGGCUCUGUGAAGUCAGGAAGCACCAGGCAUGCUCAAUUUUACAACUUAAGAAACCGAAGAGGAAUGGUUGGCUGCUGAAUUUGGGAUUCAAGUUUAAAUUCUCAUUUAAAGAAUUGCUUGAUCAACCAAAGCGUGUCUCCUGAUGAAAACAGACUGUUCCUCAAAGAACAAAUUAAGGACUUUCAGUCCUGGAGGUAAAACACUGUGAGUUCAUCAUGCAGUGCUGUAAAAUAAAUGUGUUAUGUGCCUGGCAACUCUGUCACACAAUCAACAGGAAGCCUGAAAUGCUGAGAUGGGCUGAUUUGCACAUUUUCAUGAGGUACUUGCAAAUGCAAUCAAAAUAAGCCAAUAGGAUUUAGAACUUCUUGCUAUGACUCAGCCUCUUAAACUUUGUUAAAAAAAUCUCCUAACAAACCAUUUAUUUCCUACUGAAUGAAUAUGUUGCAUUUUUAAAAGCCAUUUCAAAUUCCAAGUUCUGUUUGGAAGUACCAGUGUACUUUAAUAAGAAUGAGUUCUGAAAGAGCCUAGUGGUGUAGCGCACAGAGCAGAGGAACUGCAGUCUUUAAUCUCUAUGAUGUCCUUUCUCUUUCUCCCUCUUUUUCUUUGUCAUUUUCCCCACCCUUCUGUCUUCUGCCUUUUCUCUCCUUUAUUGUCUUUUAGUCUCCAGUUCAAACUUUGUUCAUGGUG